GGUGAUAUAACCCUUCUUGAUUAAUCAACAGAUUAAAGCAACUUCCUAACUGAUUUAUACAAUCAUUCAAAAUCACUGCAAGUUUGUGUUGUACAUAAAUUUCAAACUAUCAGGUAUAAAAAAAAAAGGAAACUAGUUUUCUCCUUUUCUACAUAUUUACAAGACAAAGUGUAAAUUCAGCAUAUUACAAGACUUGAGUUAUUAAAACACCCUAAUACAAUAAAAUAGGUUACAAAUUCAAGUUACAAGAUUUUGGUCUUUAAAAUCCAACAAGCCUCCAAAUAACAUAAGUGUGACAUAUAUAUAUAUAUAUAUAUGUAUGUAUAUAUCCUGUAUAUCAUGUAUAUCAUGUACAUGUCCCAAAACUAUGCAAACCAAGGUGCAUAUGCAAAUGUGAUCUCCAUAAAUUCUCCCAAAAAGACUACUUCACCUUGGCCAUCUUCAGAUUUCAUCCCGAACAUUUCCUACGAUAGAAAACAACUAUCGCUAAGCAUAAAGUUUAGUGGUGUAUAAACUUUAGGCUUGGAGUCAUUAAAUUCUCCAAUUCCCCUUUUCAGUCAUGGUUAGCUCAAUUUAACAUAAUUUAAAACAAGUAAACAAAUAUAUCAAACAUAUAAAUAUCAAACUUUGAACUGUUUCCAAAUAUCAAUAACAAUGUUCAAGAGUCUAGAAAGUGUAUACUAUCAAUUUAAGAGAGUAUACAAAAUAUUCAUUUUCCGCCCAAUAUGUACGUCAUGCCAUCACACUAAGCAUAAUCAGAUAUCAAGAUGGACCGAAGCCCUAAAUCAAGUAGGGUCAAAACCCAAUAGACAAGAGAAUCAAGAACCAUAUUAAAAAUGGCUUCCUAGUUCGUACUUAACACGGACAAGUUCCAUAAUUCAAGACGAACUACAAAUCCAAAGUCAAGAUGGCAAAAGAUCCGAAUCAAGAGGCAUGCCAAGAUGAGUGGAAAAGUCACUUCCACAAGAAGGACAAAGUCCCAACAAAAAUGCAAAACGAUCAAACAAUCCGUACGAAUGAGAGAUUUAGCAAAUAUCUUACAAUACUUGAUAUAAUACGAAUAUAACAAUAUAAAUUGAAGAAAAGAAAAAUAAAAUAUCAAGUUAUUUCAACAUAUUCCAGCAAGAAAAAAGAGUACAAGUUUAUACACAAACCUUGGUGUUUUACCACAAAAUAGNNN
rnacentral:lncRNA from 1 species